rnacentral:lncRNA from 12 species
ACUCUGGAAUGGCUGGCUCCAGAAAUGAGUGGGGUCACUGGGGACCUCAGCUUGGUGUCCCCAUAUUCCUGCAUGAGGAAGAUGGCCAGAGGAUAGGGGAGGAGGACAAGGCAAUGCUUCUGGAAAUUUAAGACGCCAAGUUCCAGCCCCGGUGCCUCCCUCUCCAAUGUUGUCCUGGUCACCUCUGGAGGCGGGACCCGGCAGCUCUGAGGAGCCCCCUGGUGGCCCAAGCAGUUGCUGCGGCCACACAGGCCAAGGCGCGCUCUCUCCUGGGCAUCCACAGACAUAGGACCUUUCUCAGGGCCCCAGACCUUGUGCCAGGCACUUCGCUGGGUGCCACCAGGGAAACAUCAUCUUCCAACAGCCCUGUGAGGUGGGCGUUACCCCGAUUUAUAGAUGUGAACGCCUGGAGGGGCCUGUCCUGUAUCAUCAGGCUGCUGCUGCAAAUCCACUGUUGGGGAAAGAAGCCAGAGGCAGAGCAUGAACAACAAUGACAUGAAGGCGUAUUUAUUUUUCAAAUAAUGAUCGAGCACGCUGGUGCAUGCAUAAACUCUGGAGGACCAUGCAAGUACCUGGCAUGGCCAGGGGCUUCUGGAAGGAGAGCUGGGGGGCUGGGGUAUAGAGUGGGAACAAACCAUUUUCACUGGGCUUAGUUUUGUGCUUUUUGAUUUUUGAACUAUAUAGAAGUAUUACCUAUACUUAAAAAUUCAUGAAAGACGUAAACAUUUGUGGAUAUUGAAUGACAGGAAGAAACUUGGAAGUGACUGACUCUUCCCCCAGGUCCAGCAGCAUGGACAGGAAGCUGCUCAGCAACUACUUGCAUGCCUCCAGUGAUGGGCUGCUUACCCCUUACUUGGCCAACUCCCAGUCUGGAAAGAUCCUCUCUCCAUGGGCUGAAACUUCUCUUCCUGGUCAAAACUCCUUCUUCCGGGAUGACUUUUGGGUGCUGCCCAGUUCAUGCAAACAGUAGAAUGCCCAGCAUGUGUCAGACGCUGUACCCCGGGGGUUCAACAGCCAGGAUCCCUGCCCUCAGAGGUGAGUCUAUUAGGGACUAGAGAACGAAACUUCUAUUACGGAUGCUUGCUGUGUCUGAAACUAACAUAGCUACUUGGGUUUCUUUGGAUUUUUUUUUUAAGAUUUUAUUUAUUUAUUAUUAUUUAAGAUUUUAUUUAUUCAUUCUUGAGAGACAGAGAGAGAGAGGCAGAGACAUAGGCAGAGGGAGAAGCAGGCUCCAUGCAGAGAGCCCGACAUGGGACUCGAUCCAGGGACACCAGGAUCACGCCCUGGGCUGAAGGCAGUUGCUAAACCGCUGAGCCACCCAGGCGUCCCCUUUAUUUGUAAUCUUUCUGAGUUUCUGCAUUUACAUUGGAUUUCUUAUACAUAACCUAUAGCUGGGCCUUGUUUUUUAUCCACUCUGACAAAUGAUUUUUUUUUUUUUUUUUGACAAAUGAUUUUUUUCGUUUAUUUCCAUCAUUCACAUUUAAAGUGGUCACUAUCUUAAAACUUAGUAUCUACCAUUCAGAACUGCUUUCUAAUGAUUACACCUGUUUUUGGUUUCCCCCCUUUUCUCUGCCUUCUCUGAUUUUAAUUGAGCAGCUAUUAGCAUGAUUUCAUUUUACUUCCUUUCGAAGAAUAUAAGUCACACUUCUUUUUAAAAUGACUUUAGGGGCAGCCCGGGUGGCUCAGCGGUUUGGCACCUGCCUUCAGCCCAGGGCCUGAUCCUGGAGACACGGGAUUGAGUCCCGCGUUGGGCUCCAUGCAGGGAGCCUGCUCCUCCCUCUGCCUGUGUCUCUGUCUCUGUCUCUCUCUCUCUGUCUCUUAAUAAUAAAUAAAUAAAAUAUUUAAAAAAAUAAAAAUAA